rnacentral:rRNA from 1 species
UAGAGAUGUGGNGGAACACCGAUGGCGAAGGCAGCCCCCUGGGUCAAGACUGACGCUCAUGCACGAAAGCGNNGGGAGCAAACAGGAUUAGAUACCCUGGUAGUCCACGCCCUAAACGAUGUCUACUAGUUGUCGGGUCUUAAUUGACUNNNUAACGCAGCUAACGCGUGAAGUAGACCGCCUGGGGAGUACGGUCGCAAGAUUAAAACUCAAAGGAAUUGACGGGGACCCGCACAAGCGGUGGAUGAUGUGGANUAAUUCGAUGCAACGCGAAAAACCUUACCUACCCUUGACAUGUCAGGAACCUCCGAGAGAUCGGAGGGUGCCCGAAAGGGAGCCUGAACACAGGUGCUGCAUGGCUGUCGUCAGCUCGUGUCGUGAGAUGUUGGGUUAAGUCCCGCAACGAGCGCAACCCUUGUCAUUAGUUGCUACGAAAGGGCACUCUAAUGAGACUGCCGGUGACAAACCGGAGGAAGGUGGGGAUGACGUCAAGUCCUCAUGGCCCUUAUGGGUAGGGCUUCACACGUCAUACAAUGGUACAUACAGAGGGCCGCCAACCCGCGAGGGGGGGCUAAUCCCAGAAAGUGUAUCGUAGUCCGGAUCGCAGUCUGCAACUCGACUGCGUGAAGUUGGAAUCGCUAGUAAUCGCGGAUCAGCAUGCCGCGGNNNNNNNNNUCCCGGGUCUUGUACACACCGCCCGUCACACCAUGGGAGCGGGUUUUACCAGAAGUAGGUAGCUUAACCGCAAGGAGGGCGCUUACCACGGUAGGAUUCGUGAUUGAGGGGAAGUCGUAACAAGGUAACCA